AUUGAACGCUGGCGGCAGGCCUAACACAUGCAAGUCGAACGAGUGGCGGACGGGUGAGUAAUGUCUGGGAAACUGCCUGAUGGAGGGGGAUAACUACUGGAAACGGUAGCUAAUACCGCAUACCAUCGGAUGUGCCCAGAUGGGAUUAGCUAGUCGGUGGGGUAAAGGCUCACCUAGGCGACGAUCCCUAGCUGGUCUGAGAGGAUGACCAGCAACACUGGGACGGAGAAACGGCCGAGACGCCUACGGGAGGCAGCAGUGGGGAAUAUUGCACAAUGGGCGCAAGCCUGAUGCAGCCAUGCCGCGUGUAUGAAGAAGGCCUUCGGGUUGUAAAGUACUUUCAGCGGGGAGGCGUUACCCGCAGAAGAAGCACCGGCUAACUCCGUGCCAGCAGCCGCGGUAAUAC
rnacentral:rRNA from 1 species